rnacentral:rRNA from 1 species
UACGAACCGUGCGAACGUUAUUCGGAAUCACUGGGCUUAAAGCGCGUGUAGGCGGGCCGGCACGUCGGGUGCUGAAAGCCCCCGGCUCAACCGGGGAAGCGGCCUCGAUACGACCGGCCUGGAGGGGGGUAGGGGGAGCCGGAACUUCCGGUGGAGCGGUGAAAUGCGUUGAGAUCGGAAGGAACGCCCGUGGCGAAAGCGGGCUCCUGGACCCCACCUGACGCUGAGACGCGAAAGCCAGGGGAGCGAACGGG